UGAGAGCAUCCACCGAAUGUUGGGCUCCAACCCAUCCCUUCCACAGGACGUCCCCCUAGGAAAACUCCUAAACGCACCCAAGACAGAUCUAACAUCCACAACGACAGCACCGACAGUGAUAAGAUUUGAAGGUAUGCGUGGUGGUGGAGCUUGAGGAUGUUUAAGUUUAAUUCAAGUAGAGUAUAGGGUGUAGAGGGGGCAACACCAUUCGAAGAGAGAACGCGAAUAACGGCGAAGGAGUAAGCAAUUUAAGGGCAAGGUUACGGCAUCCAUUAGCCUCCCUCCACUGAGUCAAUGCUUGAUUGAUGCUAGCAGCCUGCAAUCUUUUCCUAUUGCCUGACCUCUCUUCCUUAUCAUUCUUAGGAGUGUAUAGAUUUAAAGUGAAGGUAGUCAGAAGCAAUAAUUGAAUCCAAGCACCAAGAUCUGAUGGCUUAGCUAAUACCUUGUCCAACGUAGCUUUCAAUGCCCUGGAGAAGUUGAGUCUACAAGCCGGGGGAAUGCUGGUAUUUGUCGUGAUUUGUUUCUGGAAAAUUGGAUCAAGCAAGUCCAAAGACAUCCCUUCAUCCUCCAUUAUUGUACUGCCAACCUCCAAGCAAUGUUUCUCAAUGUUGUAUAUUAAAAAUUCCUAUUGGUACCAUUGAGGCCCUGCGAUAACAUCAUGAUCACCGUGUCCACGACAAGGCCUACUCCAUGCGUACAAGUGCAUGCAUUUGCUGCGCAUCCACAUCUGCAACUGUCUUAAUAACACUUCCCAAGCAUCAAAAAUGUCAGCAUUGUUAAUAAUUCUACCCCUGCAGUUAUUCUUGCUUUCAGCUGAAGCAAGGUGGCGAUCAUACAUAUGACUUAGUAUUGAACCAUGGCAGAAACCCCUACCACCUAUGUAAGGCCGGCUUAGGCACUAGGCCGUAUAGGCGGCAGCCUAGAGCCCCAAAAUAUUGGGGGCCCAAAAUCUUUUCCUUUUUUAUGUUAUUAUAGGUAAUAUGUGACAAUUAUAAGUGUUACAAAACUGUUUUAUUACAGUUAUUAAAUUAUUAGAAAUGUUGUGACAAAUAUAAUUGUUACUAAAUGUUUUGAAACAUAUACAAGCGUUACUAAAUUUUUGUUUUCUGAA